UACGGGGGGGGUAAGCGUUGUUCGGAAUUACUGGGCGUAAAGGGCUCGUAGGCGGCCAACUAAGUCAGACGUGAAAUCCCUCAGCUUAACUGGGGAACUGCGUCUGAUACUGGAUGGCUUGGAUUCGGGAGAGGAAUGCGGAAUUCCAGGUGUAGCGGUGAAAUGCGUAGAUAUCUGGAGGAACACCGAUGGCGAAGGCAGCCCCCUGGGCUAACACUGACGCUCAGGCACGAAAGCGUGGGGAGCAAACAGG
rnacentral:rRNA from 1 species